AAGCCGGGGGUACCUGAAGUCUGUAACCGCAAGGAGCGGCCUAGGGUAAAUCUGGUAACUAGGGUUAAGUCGUAACAAGGUAGCCGUACCGGAAGGUGUGGCUGGAACACCUCCUUUCUGGAG
rnacentral:rRNA from 1 species